AUGACUCUGUCCAUUCUUCAGUGGAAUGCCAGAAGCAUAAUUGCUAAUGGUCAGGAGCUAAAGAAUUUUAUUGAGGAAUUAGAAGUCAAACCCAAUAUUAUUUGUAUACAGGAGACAUGGUUAAAACCAACACUAGAUUUCAUUAUAUAUGGAUAUACAGUAGUGCGCAAAGACAGGGAUACUACAGGAGGUGGAGUGGCUACAUUUAUUCAACAGGGGAUAAAUUAUAGAAAUAUUGAAUUGAAUGUGCUGGUAGAUGUAGAAGUAGUCCUGGUGGAUAUAUGGAUAGGUAGAACUAAGAUUAAAAUCAUCAACUUUUAUAAUCCUUGUAAAAAAAUCGUGAGAGAAAUGCUAGAUGGGAUGUAUGAGGGCGAAAAUGGAAAGGUAAUAUUAUGUGGAGAUUUUAAUGCUCACAACACUCUGUGGGGAGGAACAAAAGUGGAUGAAAAUGGAAGUACUAUUGAGGAAUUUAUGGAUGACAAUAAAUUAAUAUGUUUAAAUGAUGGAAGAUGUACUAGAUUUGAUGCAUAUCAUGGGACAGAAUCUGCGUUAGAUCUUACGAUAGUAUCUGAUCAGAUAGCAGGGGUUAGUCAGUGGGAGGUUAAGGAAAGCUUUCUUGGCAGCGAUCAUUAUGUUAUCUGGUUAAGUGUUGGGAAUCAAAAAUUGUGUCUAGAAGAUAACUGGUUUUCAAGAUGGAAAAUGAGAGAAGCAAAUUGGGGGUUGUAUAGUUAUAAAGUGAAUGGUAAGAUGAUGGAGAUAAUAUCAGAUAGGAGUUGUGAUGUUGAUGAAUUAAACUCAAAAAUAACAAAUGUAUUGUGUGAGGCAGCGGAGGAGGUUAUUGGUAAAUCUUCUGGAAUGAGGAAAAGGAAAAUGGUACCUUGGUGGUCAGAUGAAUGCAAGGAAGCAGUAAAAUUCAGAAAUAAAGCCUUCAGAAAUGUAAAGUCAAACCAUUCAUAUACAAAUUUAAUAGAAUUUAAAAGAGCACAGGCAAAGGUUAAACAAGUUGUAAGAGAGGCAAAAAGGAAAUAUUGGUGUGAAUUUUGUGGUAAGAUUGGGGCAGAAGUUAAAGUGGGUGAUGUUUGGAGCAUGAUUAGAAAAAUGGGAGGAAUGAGAAGGGAAUUCUCUAUACCUGUGAUUAAAAAUAAUGAAGUUGAGGCAGUGACUAAUCAGGAGAAAGCUGAGAUGCUUGCUAAAGGGUUUGUCAAGGUUCAUAGCUCAAAAAACUUAACAGAUGGAGAAGUAUCAUGGAGGGUUAAAGUAAUGGAGGAAAAUAAAGGAUUACUAGGGAAAAAGGUAGAUAGUGAGAGCGUACUUGAUAACGAGUUUACUUUAUUUGAGCUUAAGAGAGCAUUAAAUGGGGUCAAGAAUACUUCACCAGGGAAGGAUGGUAUAUGCUACAAAAUGAUUAAGGAGAUAGAUGAUGUAGCUAAAUGUGUAAUUCUAAAACUUUAUAACAAGAUCUGGGAGCAAGGUAAAUUACCUUUGUGUUGGAAACACUCUGUAGUGGUUCCUAUUGGGAAACCAGGAAAGAACAGGACUGAAGUUAAAAGCUAUAGACCAAUUGCAUUGACGUCGAAUUUAUGUAAACUAAUGGAAAGAAUGGUGGUUAGGAGGUUAAUGUAUGAGGUUGAAAAGAAAGAUCUACUCUCUAAACAUCAGAGCGGGUUCCGCAGUGGUCGAACAACAAUGGACCCUGUAGUUUGUUUGGAGAAUCUGAUAAGGAAAGCACAAAAUAAUAAGGAAACCGUAAUGACAAGAUUAAGGUUGGGGCACGGUGCGCUAAACAAAUCACUGAAAAUGAUAGGAAGACACGAGACAGGCUUGUGUGAGUGGUGUCAAGAAGAGGAGUCAGUGGAGCACAUAAUUAUAAGAUGUAGGAGGUAUGAGGAACAGAGAGUGAUAAUGGAGAAUAAUUUGAGGGAAUUAGGGGUUCAGGAAUUAACUUUAACAGGACUGAUGAGCAUAGGUGACAGAGCACAGGUUAGAAUAUUGUUAACUUUCUUAAGGGAAACAGGUUUGUUUAAUAGAUUAUGA
ensembl:lncRNA